UGGAGAGGGGGCACGGGCAGGGGCGUCUCUGGGCAUCCCCAGGGCACAGCACCAGCCCGGGGCCCUCAGGCUGCUGGGCUCAGGCCCCGCCGUCUCUCGGAGGCCUGCCCCAGGCCCUCCAGGUGCUCACUGUGUCAGGCCGCGCUCCUGGGCCCUCACGGCAGUUCUUACCGAGGCCUGGGCCUCUCCUCCGUCCAGAAGGCCCUGCCCAUGAAGCGCUGUCUCAGCCCCAGGCCCGCCCCGCCCCUGCACACGGAGCUCCCUCCAGCCCUCCUGCCGGCGCCUCGACUCAGUCCCCUCCGCAGCCUCCCCCGGCCUCAUCCCUCCUGAGCCGUCGCCUGCAGCCGGGCUGCCUCGUGAGCUGCUCUGGGAGUCUCCCUUGAGGGGCCGAGCCAGCCCGGGGUGAAGGUUCACCAGCUCCUCACGGCCUGUCUGUCUGCUGACUUGGGCCUGGGGACCAACAGUGAAACCCUCCCACCGAACCCCUGGAGAUGGGAGCCGGGGCCACGGGGAGCCGGCUGCUCUACCCACUCUGAUUCCUGCCGUUUUCUGGGCAGAGUGGGUCAGCGGUGCGGUGAGGGCGGGUCCAGGGCUCCCAACGCUGGGUGGCUCCACUUCUCAAUAAGAAGCCACAGACCUCAGGGCCAGCUAGCCAAGCUUUCCUGGGAGUUGCACCUGCUCUCAGGCCGUGAGCCCACCCGGCUCGCCAUCCAUCCAGCUGGGCUGCGCACCCCGUUGUGCCCCUCGCCCCCACGCCAGUGCCCUUCUGCCUCCAGGCCUCGGCUUGAGCUGUCCUCGGGAUGUGGUGCUUUUCCUUCUUGCCAGGCUUUGCCUCUCUACUGAGUCGAUGCAACACACUUCCUCCAGGAAGUCCUCCUAGAUUUCCAUCCGACUCUGAGUCUCUGAGUGCACGAAGUACCAGACCCAGACACCCUCGGUUCUCACAGGCUGGCAGGAGGGAGGCCCUAGCCGGAGCAGAGCAGGGAGGGACCGGGUGGAGCUCCGUUGUCUGCUGUGCUGGCCUGGAGCCUGUCCGCUGCUGCCGGGCUGGAGGACACUGCUGCCUGUGUUCACUCAGCUGACAGGUUGAGGUGGGGGCAGGGCUGGGCACAGACAGUAAUUAGCCUUCGUCCACAGGUCCAUUUGGGAUGCUGAGUGGUGGACUUCAGGCCAGCCUGGAGAGCUCUGAGAAAGGGCUCCACGCGAUCCCAGGCAGACGGGACCCGUCAUGGUCCAUCUCUCCCUGGCGUGACCUGACCGGCAUGCUGGAUCUGACUGUCCCAGCCGCUCCGAGUCCGGGAGUCAGAGCUAGAAGGGCAGUGAGGCGCGUGGGGCACGGCCGGUGGUCACUCACCUCCCUGCGGUCCAGGCCUCACCUCACACAUCUGACUGGGGCGGGUGGGACUCCCGGAGGCGCUCCUUCCAGCUGUGAGGCCAUGUGUGAGUCCAGCCUCUCUGUCUGAAGUUGCUGCUGCUUGCCUGUGAGCCAGCCCUCCUCUUUUGAGGUGGCGCUGGGACGAGGGCUAUUGUCGGGCUCACCUGCGGCUUCAGCUUUGCGACAGAACCCGGUGGCAUCCUCCUGAGUGGCUGGGCACCCCUUUCCCUCCACGGCCCUCAGCACCCCCCCAGCAGGCGGUGAGCUGCCAGCUUCAGGACGUCACAGCAGGACAGGCUGGGACCUGCAGGGCAAAACAGCUGGGGAAUUUACAUAAGAGUCCAACAGAGUGUCACUGACGAGGUCAGCCAUGUGGCCAAGAUGGGACCUCGCGUCCAGACGCUCCCAGGACCGCCCGUCCUCUGGCGGCGGCAGCCAGGGCCGGCCCCGCGCUCGAGCACACCCCUCCUGCCUGCAGCGCCGCCUGCAGCUCCCUGCGCUCGCACACACGUCGCUUGUGCUUCUACCGUGUCCGACUCUUUGUGGCCCCGUGAACUGUAGC